rnacentral:rRNA from 1 species
ACGGGUGAGUAACGCGUGAGAAUCUGCCUUCAGGAGGGGGACAACGACUGGAAACGGUCGCUAAUACCCCAUAUGUCUACGGAUGAAAUAUAUAUUGCCUGAAGAUGAGCUCGCGUCCGAUUAGCUAGUUGGUGAGGUAAGAGCUUACCAAGGCGACGAUCGGUAGCUGGUCUGAGAGGAUGAUCAGCCACACUGGGACUGAGACACGGCCCAGACUCCUACGGGAGGCAGCAGUGGGGAAUUUUCCGCAAUGGGCGAAAGCCUGACGGAGCAAGACCGCGUGAGGGAUGACGGCCUAAUGGUUGUAAACCUCUUUUCUCUGGGAAGAAUAAGACGGUACCAGAGGAAUAAGCCUCGGCUAACUCCGUGCCAGCAGCCGCGGUAAUACGGAGGAGGCAAGCGUUAUCCGGAAUUAUUGGGCGUAAAGCGUCCGUAGGUGGUUUAUCAAGUCAGCUGUUAAAGAGCGGAGCUCAACUCCGUAGGAGCGGUUGAAACUGAUGGACUAGAGUUUGGUAGGGGUCGAGGGAAUUCCCAGUGUAGCGGUGAAAUGCGUA